CCUACGGGCGGCUGCAGUGAGGAAUAUUGGUCAAUGGAGGAAACUCUGAACCAGCCAUGCCGCGUGCAGGAAGAAUGCCCUAUGGGUUGUAAACUGCUUUUAUACAGGAGGAAACUUUCUACGUGUAGAAAUAUGACAGUACUGUAUGAAUAAGCACCGGCUAACUCCGUGCCAGCAGCCGCGGUAAUACGGAGGGUGCAAGCGUUAUCCGGAUUUAUUGGGUUUAAAGGGUGCGUAGGCGGCUCUAUAAGUCAGUGGUGAAAUCAUCAGGCUCAACCUGAUACCUGCCAUUGAUACUGUAAAGCUUGAGUAUUAUCGACGCGGGAGGAAUGCGACAAGUAGCGGUGAAAUGCUUAGAUAUGUCGCAGAACACCAAUAGCGAAGGCAUCUCGCGAGGUAAUCACUGACGCUAAGGCACGAAAGCGUGGGUAGCAAACAGGAUUAGAUACCCCAGUAGUC
rnacentral:rRNA from 1 species